rnacentral:rRNA from 1 species
AUUGAACGCUGGCGGCAUGCUUUACACAUGCAAGUCGAACGGCAGCGCGGAGAGCUUGCUCUCUGGCGGCGAGUGGCGAACGGGUGAGUAAUACAUCGGAACGUGUCCUUAAGUGGGGAAUAACGCAUCGAAAGAUGUGCUAAUACCGCAUAUCUCUCAGGAGGAAAGCAGGGGAUCGCAAGACCUUGCGCUAAAGGAGCGGCCGAUGUCUGAUUAGUUAGUUGGUGGGGUAAAGGCCUACCAAGGCAACGAUCAGUAGCUGGUCUGAGAGGACGAUCAGCCACACUGGGACUGAGACACGGCCCAGACUCCUACGGGAGGCAGCAGUGGGGAAUUUUGGACAAUGGGCGAAAGCCUGAUCCAGCCAUGCCGCGUGAAUGAAGAAGGCCUUCGGGUUGUAAAGUUCUUUUAGUUGGAAAGAAAAAAUUAUGAUGAAUAAUCAUAAUUCAUGACGGUACCGACAGAAAAAGCACCGGCUAACUACGUGCCAGCAGCCGCGGUAAUACGUAGGGUGCAAGCGUUAAUCGGAAUUACUGGGCGUAAAGGGUGUGCAGCGGCCUUGUAAGUCAGAUGUGAAAGCCCCGGGCUUAACCUGGGAAUUGCGUUUGAAACUACAGGGCUAGAGUGCAGCAGAGGGGAGUGGAAUUCCAUGUGUAGCAGUGAAAUGCGUAGAGAUAUGGAAGAACACCGAUGGCGAAGGCAGCUCCCUGGGCUGACACUGACGCUCAUACACGAAAGCGUGGGGAGCAAACAGGAUUAGAUACCCUGGUAGUCCACGUCCUAAACUAUGUCAACUAGUUGUCGGAUCUAAUUGGGGAUUUGGUAACGUAGCUAACGCGUGAAGUUGACCGCCUGGGGACUACGGCCGCAAGGCUAAAACUCAAAGGAAUUGACGGGGACCCGCACAAGCGGUGGAUUAUGUGGAUUAAUUCGAUGCAACGCGAAAAACCUUACCUACCCUUGACAUGCUUGGAAUCUAAUGGAGACAUAAGAGUGCCCGAAAGGGAGCCAAGACACAGGUGCUGCAUGGCUGUCGUCAGCUCGUGUCGUGAGAUGUUGGGUUAAGUCCCGCAACGAGCGCAACCCUUGUCGUUAAUUGCUAUCAUUUUUAAUGAGCACUUUAACGAGACUGCCGGUGACAAACCGGAGGAAGGUGGGGAUGACGUCAAGUCCUCAUGGCCCUUAUGGGUAGGGCUUCACACGUAAUACAAUGGCGUGUACAGAGGGUUGCCAAUCCGUGAGGAGGAGCUAAUCUCAGAAAGCACGUCGUAGUCCGGAUCGGAGUCUGCAAUUCGACUCCGUGAAGUCGGAAUCGCUAGUAAUCGCGGAUCAGAAUGUCGCGGUGAAUACGUUCCCGGGUCUUGUACACACCGCCCGUCACACCAUGGAAGUGAUUUUCACCAGAAGCAGGUAGUUUAACCGCAAGGAGGGCGCUUGCCACGGUGGGGGUCAUGACUGGGGUG